GUGAUGCAUAAGCUUAGAAUAAGCAAGAGCAGUAGCGGAGUCAGACCCUUGGCAUUCUGUGUUAUUUCCAGUUACAGUCUGGUUUUUAGGUCCAGUGCUCGUAGCAGAAACCCACCUAGGUGCUUUGAGCACGUGGUGCUUAUCAUUGUGAGAAACUCAGGUGAUGUGUUUUGGAAACACUGAGCCCCAGCACUGGUCACUUUCUCUUCAGGAGACAGAACACAAAGUAGUUUCUUCCUGUUUCGUCUGCCACCUAAGUUGGUGUUGUUUACUAAUUUUCAAACCUUGAUGUGAUGUGGGCUAUUGAAAUAAAACUCAAGUCCUCUGGCUUAGCUCCAUGGAACAUCUAAAACAACGAUCCUUGUUCCUGACUACACACUUUGCUUUUCUGACUUUUAAUAAAUCUACGCUGUCCCAAGAUUGUCAAGUGACUGGUGGUGCCAAGGGGAGAGUUGAUGGAAUUCAGUUGGGAGCACUUUUGUAAGCUUCCAAGUGAGUUUAAUGUUCAUUCAGAAUAAAGAAGCACUGCUUGAGAACAAGUAUUGGCUUUCUUUUGAAAGGGGCAGGCAGUAAAUAUCACUGUUCUUGGGGGCAGUCAGCUCGGUUGGAAAGACUAGUACUAUACAAAAGCGGCCAGGGAUUGCACGUCGACCAGUGCUGUAGCUGCGUUUCAGUAAACUUUACGGCCUUUAGACUUUGAAUGUUAUGUAAUGUCCAAACAUCAUCAGAUAUUAUUCUCUCUGUGUGUUUUUCUGUUCCUGUUCCUUCAACUAUCAAAUUAUGUAAAAAAUCAUCUCAGCCCCUUAGCCAUACAAAAAUAGAGGGUGGACUGUUUUGAUCUAGGAUAGGGGUCACAGUUCGCCGACUCUGUCUCUGCCUCCAACGAACACUUCUCUCAUGAUCUGGGAAAGGUUUUCAUCGUCUUUUAAAAAACUGUCUCUCUUUGGUCACUGUGAUUUUUUUUCUUUUUAAGCAACUUCAUUAUGGUGUAAUGUACAUGCCAUACAAUUAGUCCAUUUUGACUGCACAAUUCAGUGAACUUGAGUAAUGUUAUAGAAUUGUGCUGUCAUCGCCCAACCCAGUUUAGAAUAUUUAUGUUGUCCUCAAAAGAUGCCUUGUGACUAUUUGCAUUCAGUCUUUUCCCCCACCCCAGGCCUGGGCAGCCACUUACCUGCUUCUUUUCUCUAUGUGUUUAUCUUUUCUGGACAUUUCCUGUAUGCAGAAUUAUACACUAGGUCGCCUUUUGCACGUGGCUUCUUUCAUUCCCAUAAUGUUUUGAGUCCGUCCAUGUGUAGCGUGAGUCAUUUGUUCUCUUUCAUUGCUGUGUGGUAGUCUGUCGUAUGGCUGUGCCUUGUUUUUAAUCCAUUUACUGAAUGGAUUAUUUCCACUCUUCAGCUCUUGUGAAUAAUACUGCUACGAGGAAAUUCCUUUUCAUUCCUAGAUUGUUGAGGACUUCUGUCGUGAAUAAAUGUAGUAUUUUGUAAAAUACUUUUUCUGAGUCGAUUGAAAUAUGGUUUUUGUCCCUUUUAAAACUAAUAUGGUGUGUUGCACCAAUUGAUUUACAAACAUUAUGAAUCCCACUUAAUUGUGGCAUGUAAUUCUUUUUCUGGGUUCCUGGGUUUGGUUUAUGAUAUUUGUGAAAGAGUUUUUGUCUGCAUUCAUGAGGGAUACUGUAGUGUUCUGUAAUGAUGACAUAUCUGUGUAACUCGGGUAUGAGGACAGUAACUGACCUUGGAGAAUGAGCUGGGCAGUGUUUGUGAAUUCUCCUGCUCUGUUACCUGGAUGCACCUUCGUUUUGCUCUCAUUCUACAGGAGAGUUUUGCUGGGCAUUGAAUUCUGGGCUGACAGAAGAGUGUGGGCCUUCCAGCCUCUCAUGCAGUGUCCUGGGACACAGAGAGCUGAUUCAUCACUGUCUCCUUGCCUACAUCUCAUGGUUACAUUUCUGACUUGUCCUGUGGGACCGCAACCCCGGUGUCUCUCACCCCUUUGCUCUGGAAUCGCUGAGGGUCUGGCAACACCCAGCAGCACAAGGCUGGCUGCACCGUGCUCGGGUCAGACCAGCUUCUGAGAGGGCAGUGACAUGGUCGGGUCGGUAGGAGAAUGGCAGCAGCUCUGAGCUAAAGCACCACCGGCUCCCACAGAGCUUCAGCAGUUUUAGUUAACUAAGUUUGCUUGCACUUUAUUAUGUGCCAUUCACCUAGGCCCAGAGUCCUUGGAGAGCUGUUUUUGGCAGUUGUUUUGAGUUCGUUCUAUCACUGCUCUUUGGAGAGUGGGUUAGCUGAGCUCCUCUGUGUCAUCAGAUGUCCUGCACCACAUAUUUUGAAGUCAUUGGUUGAUGCUUCCAUCUUUACCAGCUUAUGGAAAACUAAUUUUUCUCCUUGUUACUGUCAGUAAAAUAUGUGGCAAGAUUUUUGGCUUAAGAAAACUUAGUGGAUUUUAGUGUGUGGUAUUCCAAAGUCUACUAAAAUAGCAAGCAGGGUGUGUGGAGGAGGGAAAGUUUGAGAAUUAAACAGUUGAGUGUGGUUGGAUAUUGUGUGCGCAUCAUGGAUUGAGCAGCUGACAGCAGAGCUGUGACUUCCCCGCUGGGGUGUUCCUCCUGCUGGAGCUGCCCCACCGCGCACCGGCCGCCGAGCCUUGAGAGCCGGUUGGCUCCUGUGCUCCUUCCCCCGGGAGUGGGAGCGGGCCAACCGAGUUUAGGACGCGGGGGCAGGGACGCCGGAAGGAGUCUGCUUCCUGGGCACUGCACAGAGGCGCAGCUGCCCCUGCGCGCGGAGCCACCACCCUCCGCCGCUCCCAUCUCCGGGCGGGCCCCGCAGCAGAGCAAGGGGACCGGCGGGGUGGUGAUGACUAGCUGUCCUGCCGCCCGCCGGGCUGGGCUGCCGGGAGCAGCGGAAGAGCCACGUGCUCUGGGAAUGAGGGAGAAGCGGAGCCCGCGGGCCUGUCCCCGCCCACAGCCCCUUCUGCUCGGUGUCUCUGCCCCGCCACCCUCUCAGCGCCUGCACGACCACCAUACCGGAAGUGGGGGUCAGUUCUCUGUGAGCACUUACUUAUUCCUGGGAUUCGCUUGUAAAAUCGCAAACCCAGCAUUUAGUUUCCUCCUCCUCCAUCAAACAGAACUUUAAGAAAUCCAUAUAGCUUUGAAAAGGAGCUUUAUCAGAGACAGCACUUGCCGGGCUUGAUGGUGCAAGCUUUUGUUUCCAGCUGCUCAGAAGGCUGAGGCAGGAGGAUCCCCAGUGGAGGACUGGCCUGGCAAGUUUUCUGAGACCCCACCUCGGAAUUUGAAGGGGGGGGACUGAGUGUAGCUCUGCGGGAGUGUGAGGCCCUGUGUUCAGUUCCCCAGUGCAGGGGGAGCACUGCUCUCACAGCUAAACUAGUAGGACUAGCGAACAAAUCAGACAGUGCCGCGGGCACCGCUGUGCUGUGUUUCCUUCGGCAAAGUUACAGUGGAGUGGAGUGGGCGUUCCGCACGCUGACGGGCCCCUGAUGAGGGCAGCGCUGCAUCUCCCUUCCGCAAACCGGCCGCACGGUCUCCUGGCGGCUCCGCUGUGUGACUGGCGGCGACUGCUCUUUAGUGCCCUCCUCUGUGGGGCUUCACAGGCUCCCGGCCGCAGAGCUUCCUCUCCUCCUUCACGGCUGAGCACACAGACGGUUCCUCAACGCCUGUUUGAAUCUACACUGUUUAUCCGACAGACCUGUUCAAGCUGAUUCCUGGAAGGAAGUCAGGUUUUAAAAAAACAUCUCAGGACAUAGUGUCCAGGUUGAAAUCAAGGACCACGUUUCCCACGCAUAUUUUGCAGGCAAGUUUCCUUGAGUUUUUCUCAGAAGAUGCUAAAUUGGUGCUUGAAUAUGGAGGGGAAAUGCCAAGGGCAGACUCCCUGCCCGGAGGAUGACUGCUCUGUUCCUUUCUGCUCAGGCCUGACGGCGGGAAGGAUGUGAAGUGGCUUCCUGAUGUGCCCCAGCUCAGCCAGAAGGAGGCGGCGAAGGGGAGGUCGGAGCACAGGGACCAGAGGGGCUCCCGAGGUCUGCCGCUUGAGCAGGCGCCACCUUGUUGAGGGCCUGACUGCGAAGGCAGGUGUUGGGGCUGGCUCUCCUCUCCCGACCUUUCCCGGGGGACUUUCCCGAGGGGUUGGAUAAAGCCAUUCAAGAGCAGGGUAGCAAGCGUGUGACUUACACCCUUGAGAGCUGAGCUCCCAUCUCCCGGGGUUCACGCCACAGAGCACCAUUUGCUGUGUGACCUUGGACAAGAAACUGAAUUUCCCAGAGCUUCAGUUUGCCCCUGUGUCAAAUAGUUAUAAUAACGCCACCUAUUUCGGGGUUGCUGUGUGGGUCAGCCAACAUUAUGAAAACAUGUUAGAAGCUCAGGCAUCACCUGACACCUGUCAUCCUCCACGAAAUGUCAGUGAUUCUUGUGUCUAAACCUGUUGCUGUUGCUGUAUUAAAACUCUACAUUUUUAUUGGGAACUGAGUGACUAAAAAGGAAUAAAAUUGCCUGUCAGUCUGCUGGAAAAUAAUUUGGAGGCAGGAAGGGACCUAGGGGCAGGGCUGGCCGCUCGUCCUUUGGGCUGUAGCUUUGUCCCUGGUGCGGGGAAAGGACGUGGAUGGAGACCAGCGAGGUCUGCUCGUGCAUGGGGAUCCCCCUGGCUGAACGGGCUGGUGGCCUGUGCAGGGAUGCCGGGAUUGGUGCUCGGGUGCAGCCGCCUCUGCAGGAGACCCUGGCCCUCAGCUCCUCCAGGGCUUCCACUGCCUCAGAGGGGGGAGCAGCAUCCCUAGCUUUGGGGAGCUGGGGCCUUAGAGGCUGAGAGUCACUGUGUGGGAAGAGCCCACCAGCUCUCUUCUGCCAAGACGGUGGAGAAUUUAGGGAUGGAGCAAGGAGCAGUAAGUCAGAGAAGGGCGGAGGCCCUGGGGCCGGGCUCACUGGCUUCACAGUCGCUGCAGCUCGAUUUCCUAAGCUGCCCUGGGCAGGUGACAGCACUGAGCUUGUCAGAGCUCUGCACCUGUGCUUUCUCUUCUCCGCAGGGUUAUCAAGGAGGAUUUAUAGCUAUAGUCCUCAGAGUUUAGAUGUAACAGGCCACAGUAACAAAUAUAAAUCAAAAUCAAAACCACAACAAUCAGCCAUAGACAGACAGACGUUACUAACGUAUGUGUGGUGUGUACAUGGCAGACGGCCAGGAAGGCCGAGGCUGGUGGACACCGCUCGCUAAGGCCAGCCUCGUGUGCCUCACCAGGUCCGUGAGGCCAGCGCCCUCCUGCACGCGGUCUCUGCUCUCCUGCUACAGAGGACCGUGGGGCACCGUCAGCCUUGGUUACUUAGGUCCCGAUUCCAGGCACAUGGAGGCGGCAGAGAGUGUGUGCGCCUGUCCCCUUUGAUUUGCCCGCAGCUCAGCAAUCCUGUGGCGGAGUGGCACGUUCGGGAUGGUACAUUCCAGCCUUUACAGACAGAACCGUGGAGUUGAUAGCUGGGGAAUGUGGGGGCAGCAUAGACCAUUGUGUUGUGUUCUGUUUAUGAUUUGGAGCAGGCGUCAAAUGGAAAGCUGAGAAAACAUCUUAAAAAUUCCUCCUGGAGAAGGUUCAGGGCAUCUGUGCUGCACAAAGGGAAGAGGCUCCUUCCAGUUCCAAGGACACUGCAGCAGCACACUGACCUCGAGUGGAUUCCCUCGUUCCUGACGAACACCUGGUGCUGGCUGCAUGCAUGAGACCCUGGCUGUGACUCCACUGUGUGCAGUUUACACGUUAUACCUGUGAAUGAUUCAUGUGGCAUCUGUUGACCACAAGCCAGUAGUGGAAUUCUAAUAAAUGCAUGCUUUCCACUUCCCACCACAAAGCAGCACUGGCACUUACAGGCCUUUGAGCAUAAAAUGCCAGUAAAAAUACAACGGACAAUUGUGAGGCUUUGCCAUCCCUAAGCAUUAGUCACCCUAAAGCACGGUAUCCAGUAUCUGCAUUUCUGUGACUGUGAGCUAAAACAUGUUGGCAGAACGUGAAACUUCAGUUACUUUCUACAAUAUCCCAUAUUCACAUGAGCAAGACUUAAUGACUCACAAAGACAAUUUGGAAUAAAUACAGAUAUCCACCCUGGAA